UACGUAGGGUGCAAGCGUUAAUCGGAAUUACUGGGCGUAAAGGGCGCGUAGGCGGUGUGUCAAGUCAGGCGUGAAAGCCCCGGGCUCAACCUGGGAACCGCGCUUGAGACUGGCACGCUCGAGUUCGGGAGAGGAUGGUGGAAUUCCCAGUGUAGAGGUGAAAUUCGUAGAUAUUGGGAAGAACACCGAUGGCGAAGGCAGCCAUCUGGACCGACACUGACGCUGAGGCGCGAAAGCGUGGGGAGCAACAGG
rnacentral:rRNA from 1 species